rnacentral:rRNA from 1 species
CCUACGGGGGGCAGCAGUAGGGAAUCUUUCACAAUGGGCGACAGCCUGAUGGAGCAACGCCGCGUGCAGGAUGAAGGCCUUCGGGUUGUAAACUGCUUUUAUAAGCGAGAAAUAUGAUGGUAACUUAUGAAUAAGGAUCGGCUAACUACGUGCCAGCAGCCGCGGUCUUACGUAGGAUCCGAGCAUUAUCCGGAGUGACUGGGUGUAAAGAGUUGCGUAGGUGGCAUAAUAAGUAGCUAGUGAAAUCUGGUGGCUCAACCAUUCAGACUAUUAGCUAAACUGUUAAGCUCGAGACCGUUAGGGGUAACUGGAAUUGCUAGUGUAGGAGUGAAAUCCGUAGAUAUUAGAAGGAACACCGGUGGCGAAGGCGGCUUACUGGACUGUAACUGACGUUGAGGCUCGAAAGCGUGGGGAGCAAACAGGAUUAGAUACCCUUGUAGUC